GGAAUAUUGGACAAUGGGCGCAAGCCUGAUCCAGCCAUGCCGCGUGAGUGAUGAAGGCCUUAGGGUUGUAAAGCUCUUUCAGUGGGGACGAUCAUGACGGUACCCACAGAAGAAGCCCCGGCUAACUCCGUGCCAGCAGCCGCGGUAAUACGGGGGGGGCAAGCGUUGUUCGGAAUUACUGGGCGUAAAGGGCUCGUAGGCGGCCAACUAAGUCGGAUGUGAAAUCCCCAGGCUCAACCUGGGAACUGCAUCCGAUACUGGAUGGCUUGAAUCCGGGAGAGGGAUGCAGAAUUCCAGGUGUAGCGGUGAAAUGCGUAGAUAUCUGGAGGAAUACCGGUGGCGAAGGCGGCAUCCUGGACCGGCAUUGACGCUGAUGAGCGAAAGCCAGGGGAGCAAAC
rnacentral:rRNA from 1 species